ACGGAAGUUACAAAGGGCGCAUGGAGGAUGCCUUGGCUCUUGGCGGCGAGGAAGGACGUGCUAAGCUGCGAAAAGCUGCGGGGAGUUGCACAGAAGCUGUGAUCCGCAGAUGUCCGAAUGGGGAAACCCGGCUGGUUGAAGACCAGUCACACCGAAAGGUGAGCAAACCCGGAGAACUGAAACAUCUAAGUACCCGGAGGAAGAGAAAACAACAGUGAUUCCGUAAGUAGUGGCGAGCGAACACGGAUAAGCCCAAACCGUUAUUGUUACGGCAAUAGCGGG
rnacentral:rRNA from 1 species